UACGGGGGAUGCAAGCGUUAUCCGGAUUUAUUGGGUUUAAAGGGUGCGCAGGCGGAUUUUUAAGUCAGCGGUCAAAUCGUGGGGCUCAACCCCAUCCAGCCGUUGAAACUGGGGAUCUAGAGUGCGCGGAAGGCAGGCGGAAUUCGUGGUGUAGCGGUGAAAUGCUUAGAUAUCACGAAGAACCCCGAUUGCGAAGGCAGCCUGCCGCAGCGUUACUGACGCUGAAGCUCGAAAGCGCGGGUAUCGAACAGG
rnacentral:rRNA from 1 species